AUCCUCAAAUUCCCCCCUAAAAAAACCUUUUCUCGAAGUUAAAGCACUGGUGCCUCUUCGUCUCUAUCAUCUCCGUCAAUCCUCUUCUCAAAACAAAAAAUCUCCGUCAAUCCUAGCCUGCUCAUGACCACAUCCACAUACACCAGUGCCUUAAAUAAGGAUCCGCCGAAGGAAGAUUUCACUGCUGGCUUAUGCGAAACUAAUUCCCGACCUAUCCAGGCGCUACUUCUUGUCUCUUAUCUUCAAUUUUUUUGUUUUGGCGCUGUCCUCAAACCCUAGCUCUGCUGAUCUUAGGUUGGGCAUAAAGCUGCGACGAACCCGUGUGUGUAGGUCUCAGCUCAUUGGCGCGAGUUCUCGCCUUCCUCAUUUCUGGUGCGGUCGGCCCUCCGCCAAUAAUGAAGUAGAGAUGCCGAAGCAGAUUUUGAAGAAAUAGUAAUACAGGAUAUGUGUCUGCUGGCUGAGCCCAGUUGUGGGCCUCCUGGUUGUUUAUGAUGUCGGGUUUCCACCUACGUAAUUUGCUACAGCUUCACAUCAUUCCUACUUCCUCCAUAGCAGGUGAUUCUUCACAUGUAUUAACAUCAUUUUUGUCGUAAAAAAGUGGCGAUUUCAUAUCUUAUAAGAAGUCUCAUGCAUUACCUCACUUGCCUAGUUUUUGCGCCUCAUUUCAAAUAACAAUUACAAACCUUGAUGCUCCAAAUGAGAGGCCACUCGAAAGAUAGAUUUGAUCUAGAAUAGAAGUUAUGAAACCUUGAUGAUCUAGAUGAGAGGCCACUCGAAAGAUAGAUUUGAUCUGGCAUAGAAGUUAUGAACCUUGAUGAUUCAGGUGAGAGGCCACUCAGAAGGUUGCUUGGUGUGACUUCGUCCGACGGCGCGACGUUGCGUAGUUCAAUUAGAAGACUUUGAUGUUGUUGGUAGUGUGCUGGUUAGGUAGCAGAUUUGGCUUACUUUGAUUUUUAGGUGUGUGCUGUGAGCGGUCGGCCGUAUGUCUUCUUAUGUGUUAUGGUUGACUUGGCAAGUAUUACGUGUUGAGUAAUUUUGGUUGAGUCCGUGUGGAGUUCUGUAUGUAGUCCAUGUAUGUGUCUUAUUUGUAUCUGCGUGUUCACGUUUGACUCUUUGUUUUUGACGCUGUGUUCACGUUUGGAAUUGGAUGCACGUGAGCUUCCGUAUCUUCAA